rnacentral:rRNA from 1 species
UAGGGAAUAUUAGUAAUGGGCGAAAGCCUGAACUAGCAACGCCGCGUGUGCGAAGAAGGCCUUCGGGUUGUAAAGCACUUUUUGAGAGGAUGAGGAGGGACGGUACUCUCAGAAUAAGUCUCGGCUAACUACGUGCCAGCAGCCGCGGUAACACGUAGGAGGCGAACGUUAUCCGGAUUUACUGGGCGUAAAGCGCGUGUAGGUGGUUUGGUAAGUAGGGCGUGAAAGCUCCUGGCUCAACUGGGAGAGGCCGUUCUAAACUGC